UUCCUUCAUCUCUGAGGGUGACAGGAGAAUGAAACAGCCUCUCCUCUGUUUACUGUUUACCUCACUAAUUUACUUGCUUUGAAAUGUUUCAGUCGUUCCCAGGCAGGGGAUAUACGCUGAGCAGCAAUUAGUAGAAAUCACACAGCUGCUGUGGUUAAAUCUGACAAGAAAAGUUUCACAUCGGAGGGUGCAGGAGCAUAAGCUGGAGAUGUAACUGCUCAACUUGACCUUAUCAGGGCAGGCUGGACCGGUAACCGUGACACAGAAUGAAGGGGCAAGACCACAAGAUGUCUAAAAACUGGCGUACGCUUGGCUGUUAAAGAAGAGAAAGCUGGAAUCAGUGGGUGUACUUGGUGCAGCACCAUCAAAGGCAAGGAGGUGAACAAGUUUUUCAAGAAGUCUGAAUUGUAUAACAAAUGCAGAGUGAAAGCACACCGCUCCUGCUGAAAAUGUACAAAAGUUGCAAUUUGGUCCCCAAUCGAAUGGAGUCUACCAGAGAAAUCCACAAAUAAUCACCAAACUGUUCUUGGAUCAUUGGAAGACACCUUGGAUGACAUUUUGAUUCUUCCCCACUCCUGGUACUGUUCUUGGGCAGAAUUCUCUGCUUCCUUGGAUAAGAAGCAAGACCACACAUGGAUUUUUACCAGAUUAUUCACUCCUGGACUAACAACGUUAUUUUCUUUGGUGGCCAAAUGGUAUUUCUGAUUUCUCAAACAAUCAAAACAAUUCAGCAGAGAAAAUAUGUUACACCAGUCGUCUGCUGUUCAUCCUUCUACUUGCUGCAAAAUCAAACCAGUCCUUGAUGUUUCUCUUGCUUUCUCUGCUGCCAGAGAAAGCAAGAUACUGAUACAGUAUCAUAUCAGUGUCUGAUAUGAUACUGUAAACUCUGCAAUGUUGGCAACAACAUUCUGUAGUUCCCUCCUCAGGAAAAGAGGCUCCUGUCUCUCAAUGAUCAGGAAAACUGUCCUGGAAGCUGCAAUAUUUUUAGUGGUAACCUUUAGUUACAAGUUGACAAUGGCUUCAUAUUCUUCUUUGGAGGUAGCUACUACUUUGUCACUCCUUUAUAUAAAUCGUUCUGCUAAUGAGAUCGAUAGUACCAAUUUAAUCUGGAGACUUGCACAGCUUCACUCAUGUUUAUAAUAUUACUUUAUAUAAAUUAGGUUAGCUCAUAAUUUUUUGUCAGAGUGAAACUCCAGAGGAAAUGAGUUUUCUCAGAGAGUCAAGGCCUUCUCCUAAUAAAUCUAUUUGCAAUAAAUUAAUUUGGAUUUGAUUUCUUCACAGGAUAAUGUAAAGUAGUAAAAAUGUUUGUGUCAUUUUUAAAUGGUGCAUGGGUCACAAUAAAACUCUGUAGCUUGUAGUUUUUGAAAUCCCAGUACAGUCAGAUGAAUGGGUUAGGAUGUUAUUAAACAAGAAUCUGCUAUUUAAUUUUCAUAUUUUUAUAUCCCAUAUAUUGUGCAACAAUUAAUCAGAGGUAAAUAUUUUUGAACAGUAUAUUUUGUAGAGUUUCUCAGCUUGGAUGAAGCUGGUGGUGUGUAUACAUUAAAAGUAACUAUAAUCAAAGUCUCUAAUAUUUAGUAAAAACAACACUGCAUGAAGUUUAGGCUAGCUGGAGGUUUAAAAUCAGGCCUGAGAAAACCCUGCAGAUGAUGGGGCAGAGUCAGUCUUGUCAGAUGUCUUAGAUUUAGUAGGCAGUAUAUUUUUCUAAGCCAAAAGUCUAAAUAAAGAAAAUCUGAGGGUUUGCUUUUCUUUCUAGGUGUCUGAUGGAUCGGUGGCCUGUCAGAGGUGUACCCUGUCUCCUGUGCAGUGUUACAUCUUUCUAAUAGCAAAAAUAAAACGGAGAAUGGUUCAAGGAAGUUAAGCAAUAUUUCAGCAGCUUUAUCAACUUUAAGUAAUCAAUUUUCAAAGAUUGCAGAAUAUUCUCGGUUGGCUUUAAGUCCACAGUUUGAUUUGGCCAUUCUAACACAUUUUUUAGAGUGAUUUAUUUUAAUUUAAAUCACUCUGUUGUUACUCUGGCUUUAUGGUGAUGGUCAUUGUCCUGCUGUAAGAUGAACCUCCUGUAAUCUGAAAGUCUUUAACAGCUAGACAGGUCAUUCUCUAGGGAGGCCCUGUAUUUACCCGUCCCAAUACAGAAAAACAUGACUAAUGUCAACAGAUUACAUGAGCCUCAGUGGAACAGUGGAACCUCACCUCGUGGUGGUUCAGCAACAAUUCACUUAAGUUAAAAUUAUUUGUGAAAAAUUCAUCUAUUUGUAAAUAUUCUUUGCAGCUUGGGGAGCUGAAAUUCCAAGCUGGCUAUACUGGAUUUUAUUUAAGGGUACAGGAGUAAAAGGAGACUAAAUAUAAAUGCAUUAUCAAAUUUUCAUUUGUUUUAAACAAAAUUGAAAGCAAUGCAUUGUUUUUCUUUCACUUUGUAAUUAUGCACCGCUUUGUGUUGUUGUUUCACAUUAAAUCUCUUCAUGACA